rnacentral:lncRNA from 1 species
GCUAUCAUUAUAUCCUUCCCUCAUUAUCAAAAACAUGUUAACUGUUAUUGUACUUCUUGAAUUAUUUUUAUUUCUUCCCAGCAAACUGAGAAUACAUCUUCCCUUUGUGUAUGGCAUUCACAUCCACCGUCAGGCACUUGAUGAAGAAACUGAUUCACAGCAGGGCUGAGAAAUUUUACAGGCUGGCACAGUUAAUAAGCAGAAGAGUUGGGAUGUGAACACUGCCAGUCUGGCUUCAGAAUGUUCAGAGCUACUUUCUCACAGUUGUGGAACACAGAAGUUGAGGUCCAUUAUACUUAAUGGACCUAGUUAGCAUGGGCUUUUAACUGGACCUAUUAAUCUUGGGCAUUUAACUGAGUUCCUAAAUUUUAGAACUUUCUGUACUUCGUAAGGUUGGGCUUUUAAUUGAGUUCCUAAAUCUUAGAAUGGAGAUACUAUGUAUUUCUUAUGGCCUAAUGUGAUGUUUGAGAGCUGGGAUUCUAGAACGUGACUGGGUUUCAACCCAGGUUCUACCAUUUACCAGCUGUAUCAUUUGAAUGAGUUAGUAGCAUCUUUCUAUCUUUGGGCCUUGGUUUUGCCAUAAUAACACACAUACUUUAAAGAUAUUCUGAAGAUUAAAUGAGUUUCUGUCUCUGUCUCACAAGAUAGACUGCUGUUUUAUAAGUUCUUAACUAUAAUAAAAGUUUAAGAAUGAAAUUAAUUUAAAUGAAGAAUGGCUGUAGUGCCAUGUAGAAACUAAAUAGAAAGUACCCAUUGUUAUCUUCAGCAAAUUCAGUCAUAUCUCUGUUCUCACAUCUCAUCAAUCCGAUUCCGGGAUUCUGUGCUUUAUAAUAAACUAAGUUACUGUAAAAUUCUAGUGUAUUUAUCAGUGCUUGGUCUCGCUACUUGUUACCAACAACUGAACAAUCUUUUCUUCUCUGCAUCUUUUCCCCCCUUCCUGAUUACUACUGUCAUCAUAAUCAUAGUCAUUAUCGUCAUCAUAACUUAGCUUUUAGCUUGGCUCUCACUUUAUCUGGGAACCCUUCUCUCAAUCCUUUAAUCAAAAUGGUAGUCAUUACUCUCUGCUUAUAGCACCCUAUGCUGACACUGACAUAGACUUAACAUUCCUCUGUAUUGCAAUUUAUUUUCAGUUUGUCUGUCUGUUAUUUCUCCUCAGCUAAGCAUAUCUUAUCAAAUUCUCCAUCCCUCUAGCACCUAUCACAAUUCCUGACAUAGCAGUUUUUCAGGAUGUGUUUUCAGCAAAUGCAAU